UACGAAGGGGGCUAGCGUUGCUCGGAAUGACUGGGCGUAAAGGGCGCGUAGGCGGAUGGUACAGUCAGAUGUGAAAUUCCCGGGCUUAACCUGGGGGCUGCAUUUGAUACGUGCGAUCUGGAGUGAGGAAGAGGGUCGUGGAAUUCCCAGUGUAGAGGUGAAAUUCGUAGAUAUUGGGAAGAACACCGGUGGCGAAGGCGGCUCACUGGCUCGUAACUGACGCUCAUGCACGACAGCGUGGGGAUCAAACAGG
rnacentral:rRNA from 1 species